GGGAGUUUGGCCGAGUGGUUAAGGCGUUGUGUUUAGGUCUUCUCACGAACAUCUGAAGCCCGCAAUGGGAAACCGCGCAGGUUCGAAUCCUGCAGCUCUCA
rnacentral:tRNA from 1 species